UAGGGAAUCUUCCGCAAUGGGCGAAAGCUUGACGGAGCAACGCCGCGUGAGUGAUGAAGGUCUUCGGAUCGUAAAACUCUGUUAUUAGGGAAGAACAAAUGUGUAAGUAACUAUGCACGUCUUGACGGUACCUAAUCAGAAAGCCACGGCUAACUACGUGCCAGCAGCCGCGGUAAUACGUAGGUGGCAAGCGUUAUCCGGAAUUAUUGGGCGUAAAGCGCGCGUAGGCGGUUUUUUAAGUCUGAUGUGAAAGCCCACGGCUCAACCGUGGAGGGUCAUUUGAAACUGGAAAGCUUGAGUGCAGAAGAGGAAAGUGGAAUUCCAUGUGUAGCGGUGAAAUGCGCAGAGAUAUGGAGGAACACCAGUGGCGAAGGCGACUUUCUGGUCUGUAACUGACGCUGAUGUGCGAAAGCGUGGGGAUCAAACAGG
rnacentral:rRNA from 1 species